rnacentral:rRNA from 1 species
AGAGUUUGAUCCUGGCUCAGGAUGAACGCUAGCUACAGGCUUAACACAUGCAAGUCGAGGGGAAACGAUAGAGAAAGCUUGCUUUUUCUAGGCGUCGACCGGCGCACGGGUGAGUAACGCGUAUCCAACCUGCCCAUCACUUGGGGAUAACCUUGCGAAAGUAAGACUAAUACCCAAUGACGUCUCUAGAAGACAUCUGAAAGAGAUUAAAGAUUUAUCGGUGAUGGAUGGGGAUGCGUCUGAUUAGCUUGUUGGCGGGGUAACGGCCCACCAAGGCUACGAUCAGUAGGGGUUCUGAGAGGAAGGUCCCCCACAUUGGAACUGAGACACGGUCCAAACUCCUACGGGAGGCAGCAGUGAGGAAUAUUGGUCAAUGGGUGAGAGCCUGAACCAGCCAAGUAGCGUGCAGGAUGACGGCCCUAUGGGUUGUAAACUGCUUUUAUAAGGGAAUAAAGUGAGCCUCGUGAGGCUUUUUGCAUGUACCUUAUGAAUAAGGACCGGCUAAUUCCGUGCCAGCAGCCGCGGUAAUACGGAAGGUCCGGGCGUUAUCCGGAUUUAUUGGGUUUAAAGGGAGCGUAGGCCGGAGAUUAAGCGUGUUGUGAAAUGUAGAUGCUCAACAUCUGCACUGCAGCGCGAACUGGUUUCCUUGAGUACGCACAAAGUGGGCGGAAUUCGUGGUGUAGCGGUGAAAUGCUUAGAUAUCACGAAGAACUCCGAUUGCGAAGGCAGCUCACUGGAGCGCAACUGACGCUGAAGCUCGAAAGUGCGGGUAUCGAACAGGAUUAGAUACCCUGGUAGUCCGCACGGUAAACGAUGGAUGCCCGCUGUUGGUCUGAAUAGGUCAGCGGCCAAGCGAAAGCAUUAAGCAUCCCACCUGGGGAGUACGCCGGCAACGGUGAAACUCAAAUGAAUUGACGG